ensembl:lncRNA
UGGAGGUGAGGGUAUUUCUUGUUAGAAAUCUGUGUUUGCCCCAGGUCUUUCUGAGUUUGUUUCAGGAAUGAAGAGGUUAAUGAAGCCUGAACUACCUCGUGAAGACAUUCCUGUUCUUGUCAGCCUUGGCGUUAUUGUAAUUGUCUGCAAUCACCAACAAGUCAAAGAGCUGAAAUAAGAUGAAACAAAUUUUCAGAGUUCCUUCUGUCUGCCGCUCAGGAGUAAUGGCAAUUCUAUAGUGCUUCUUUUGAAAGUUGAAAUGACAGCUGUUAGUAAAUAGUUUACCAACAUUUCCUGUGUUUGAAUGAAUAAACGUGUUCAUAAAAGCAUGUUUUGAAGUUGUUUUAAUGAUUUAAUAUUUAGAAGUAAGAAAUCUGUAGCAGAGGAAACAACUCUCAACACCGGACUGCUAGCUGAGUUUCACUUCUGUGGGUGCUUAGACCAAGGUUUCCCUUAGGCUGUUUUUAGUUUCAAGUGGUAAUUGAAUUUGGGGAAAUUUCAGACUAAUUACAAGUCACUUUCAGUAUGCUGGCUAUUUCAAAUAUGUCAUGUGAUUGAGAAUAACAUCAUUCAUUGUGUUGGAAUUACCUGAUGACUUUUUUGUAGGCAAUGUUAUGUUGCAAAACAGUGUUUACAUAAAAUGCUUCAACCACAGGAUUAGCUUGGUACCAGUAUGCAGUAUGAAGAGAUCUUAGGAAAACCAUAAUACCUGUGGGAUGUUGGCAGGCAGAGAUAAAGAGGUAGAUGUGAACUAAAAAAAAAACAAGCCAGCAUUUUUUACACAACACUCACUGUAUCUGUGUAAAGCCAGGAGAUGCAUGAAGUAUGACUUCAAAGACAUGGUUAUUUUCUUCAGUUGUUCUCUUCCCGACAACUUGCUUGUAGACAUUACA